rnacentral:ncRNA from 1 species
UAACGUUUUGGUCCUAGACUUACUGCUAUUUGUAAACAAGUCUAUACAUGCAAGCCUCAUCAUUCCCGUGAAAUACGCCUAUAAAACAAAAUGUAAACAGAGCUGGCAUCAGGGAGCCCCUAAGACGCCAAGCCCCGCCACAUCCACACGGACAUGCAGCAGUAACUAACAUUUAACAAUGAGCCAAGCUCGAUUAAGCUAUGAUCAACUAGAGUCGGCAAAUCUCUGUGCCAGCCGCCGCGGUUAUACAGAAGACCCAAAAUAGCACGACCGGCAAAAAAAUGACUAAAAUUUAAAAGCCUAACAAAUAAGAAAAACACAAAACUGGACCGUUAAACAGCACCUACAAUAAUGCCCGAACAAUCUUAUAUUAAGGACAUUUGACUCAUUAAAACCAGGGUACAAACUAGGAUUAGAUACCCUACUAUGCCUGGAAAUAAACAACACUGCCAAAAAAGUACAAACACUAGUUCAAAACUUAAAAGACCUGGCGGUGUCCAAAAUCAGCCUAGAGGAGCUUGUUAUGUAAUCGAUGAUCCACGUUAAACCUUACCUACUCUGGCAAAUCCAGCCUAUAUACCGCCGUCGACAGCCCAUUUUUCUAAAAAUAGAGCAACUCAGGCCUCCCCCUAAAACGACAGGCCAAGGCGUAGCUUAUGAGAAGGACAAUAAUGGGCUACACUACUAAACACAACAAAAACUUCACUGAAAUACAGUCGCACGAAGAAGAAUUUAGCAGUAAGAAGAAUUAGAGCGUUCUACUGAACCAGGACAUUGGACACGCACACACCGCCCGUCACCCUCACCAUAGCCCUAUCGGAGAGGAAAGUCGUAACAUGGUAAGCGUACCAGAAGGUGUGCUUGGAAGCAA